rnacentral:lncRNA from 1 species
CGGCCGUGGCCCCCGAGGUAUGGGAUGGCUUUAAGUGCAGGAAGUGUCACGGGUUCCUCUCCGACCCGGUGUCCCUGUGGUGCGGCCACACCUUUUGUAAACUGUGCCUGGAGCGCGGGCGAGCCGCCGAUAGGCGCUGCGCUCUGUGCGGGGUCAAGCUCUCCGCACUCAUGGUGGCCAGUGGGAGGGCACGCGGGCCGCGGCGCUCGGGGCCGCAGGCGCCACUGCAACUGCGAGUCAACGUGGUACUCAGCGGUCUCCUGGGCAAGUUGUUCCCGGGCCCCGCGCGAGCGUCGCAACUCCGGCACGAGGGCAACCGGCUGUACCGUGAGCGCCAGGUGGAGGCGGCUCUGCUCAA